CGCCGGGAGGCACCGCGGGGCCGCCGCCGGCGGGAAAGGAGCGAAAAGAAAAGGGAGAAAAAAAGAAAAAGAAAAGGGGAGCCGGCGCUCGGGCGGCGGGCACUUCCACCGUCCAACGACGCCUCCAUGUCCCCGCCGCGGACGGAGGAGCCCGGCCGGCCGCGCUGAGGAGGCGAGGAGCGGCGCAGGGCCGUGGGUGCCCGUGAGGCUGAGGCGGCCCCUGCCGCGCUCUGCCUGCCUCACCUGUCGGGCUGCUCCGUGCCCGAAAUCCCCGGCUUCGCUGGCCUGUGGCUGCCGUCGAAUAAUGCCCAGGGAGGUGUCGCCCUUCGCAGGACAGUUUGGAAGAUCGUGGUUUUUUUCUUGGGUUUGGGGAUUUUUUGACUUUCUUUUUCCUUUUUAUUUUUCUUUUCUUUUGAUCUUACUACGGUUGGGACCAGCUGAGUUUGACGUUGGUGAAUGUCUUUCUGCAGAAGGCAUCUCACGGCAGCAGGAUGAGGUGGUGCCAGGUGAUGACACCCACUGUGUAGAUCUGAGAGCUGAUACCUGAACCGGGGAUGUUGAUGACGGGUGUUGAGGGGUCUGUUUGUCAGCAGGAGAAAGCUGGAAGAGAAUGGAAAAGCUGGAAUGGAGCAUUUAUCGAGGCUCUGUCAUGCAGGGAUGAAGUGAAUGGAGAGGUCUGCAGAUCCAUCAGUCACCCUUCAGCCCAGUACAACCUACUGUGUACUUUGCCAGAGGACCAAAGUGGGUUUACAAGGGACAACCAGAUCGGGCUGUGAGAGCAGCAGCUUUGACCCUGAUGGAGAAGGUGGGGGAGGGGACCUCCCUGGCUCAGUUUGAGAACAGGUAGUGGAAGGGUAGCAACGAGGCUUCCAUCUGCUAUCACCCAUUAUUCUCAGUCCCCGUUCCUUCACCCGAUACAGGCCAGGACUGCAUUAAUCCUUCCUGCUACCACCUGCCCUCCUGGAAGCAGCUCUCUGUACUGGGCAUCCAGUUUGACUGCUGACAACCUCUGCUGUACAAAUCAUGCUGAAUUUGUGAAGAAUGUACCAUUAUGUGGGGUAGACCAUUAUGUCACUUAGCCAUCUUUGCAAGACAAUUACCUAAAUUAUUUCAAACCCAUCACAUUAAUAAUGCCUUAGGUGAAGGGAAUUUUCCAUUUUCUACGUUUGAUUUUAUAAAAUCAUAGAAUACCCUGAGUUGGAAAAGAUCCUCAAGGAUCAUCGAGUUCAACUUCUGAACAGGGGAAUUUCCCUUGACAGAAGAAUGUAGUAGGAGGAUAUUAAUAGAAAUACAUAUUUGUAUAACCAAAUAUAUAUGUAUACACACAUACAUAUAUGCAUAGGUAUAAAACAUUUUAUAGUCUGGGGCUUCAUCUUCAUUUGCCUACUGCUGCAGUUGAAAUCAAACUUGAUUUCAAACUCUGCUAAGUCCGUGGUAUUAUGGGAUCACAAUCAGGCACAAAUAUCUAUUACUGGGUACCAUUCCUUAUCUGUGUUCAUAGUAAGUAAUCAAAUUAAAAAAAAAAUCAGUAUAAAUCAGUUUUAAGUCAGCUUAAACAUAGUCCCAUAAAAAUUUGUCACUUUAACUAAACAGAAAUAGAAAAAUACUUUCUCUAGAUGAAUGACUUUUUGAUUGAACACAAGAUAUUCGUCAGCCAAUCUCUUUGUCCAUUUACCAGUCAAAGGAAAGAAACAUACAAUCCAGUCAAAAGUUGUCAGUGUGACCAUUGUUCAUGGCAAUGCUUGUAUGAAUUGUUUUGUAUAGCACAUUUUGAGGAAGCGAUAAGGCUUCAUAAAACACAGGAGAAACAGAGUUACUUAUUCAUAGCAAAUGAUGCAGUAAUUUUGAAUCCAGAAUUCUAUAUAAUCUUAAAAUAAGUUGGACUUCUCAAAUGCAUUGCUAUAUAUUGUUUUCAAGAAAUAGUGGUAGAAUGCUAUAACAGUUUAUGUUACUGAAGCGCUCCCUGUUAACUGCAGAAGUUAUAAGGUUUCUUUCCCAAAUAGUUGUUAUGCUGAAAGAAACUUUGAGACCUGAAAAGGUUACCUGUUUGAGCACCAUCAAUAGGAUUAACGCUAAUCAGGUAUCCCCUUUCUCUUUUUUAAUUUUUCAGUUUUAAGAAACAUUUGGGUGUUGUGUUCAUUACCCACCCCCCCAUUUUUCCCAUAUGAAAUGCAUAGGAAGAAGGAGAGGAAGAUCAGUGAUGAGCACAUUUGAAAAUGCCACCUUCCCCAAGGUAGAAAUGCUGCUGAUAUGUGAUUUUACAAGAAAGAAAACUGCAUUUGAUGCCAUCUGUAGUCCUGGACCAAACCCAAGCUGUAACUCAAACUGAAAUGGAGUUUGUUGUUCUAGUACUGGGUCAAACACAAAACUGCCUUUAGCAGCCUGCUCUCAGGAGAGAUUGUCUUAGAAUGAGGUAGUCAGGAGACUGAAUUACUGCUCACUGUCUUAGGAGUAGUUCCAAGGUCAAUGUUAGGAAUAUAAGUGGAAAAUGCAGUAAUGAACUCUUGAUUUGAGGUAGCUGGAGAUGACAACUGUUAUUUAGUUAGGAGUUGCUUAUAUAGAAAAAUAUACCCUGAAAAUUAUUUUAACUAGGAAGGUAGGCAUAGGGCUCACAGUUUGCUGGAUGAGCCUUUUGCUUCGCACUGCAGGCUGGAAUUAAAUUGUCAGAGUCCACCUCUAGCUGAACAGGUCAAACAAGUCCUACUUAAUCCAGCCUGAUGCUCACUCUUCAUGAUCUACAAGAUUUUUAUAAACUAAUCUGUUAGUCAUUGAAACAUCAGCUAAUGUUAUUUCUGGGCAGACCAGUCUCUCUACCUGUAGAAUCAAGGCUGUGUAGAGCAAAAAUAGAAUAGUCAUGCCAUACAUUAUUGAAAAUCUAGGACUUUGUCUUUGGAGUGUACAGGAAAUAUUUAAGAUGGUAGGCUAUUCUUUUUCAUACUGUGCUUGCUUCUUUGUUUGCACAGUAGCUGAUAGUUUUUUGUGGCAUUGUAAGGGUUCAGUGUAGAAUUCAACUGUCUAAAGCUUUACCUCAUGUUUAUGCUAUUCACUCCAUAGCAGUGAAUAUCGUUUGGACUUGCCAGCACUGGGUAAAGGAAAUCAAGUGUACAAAUAAGGCUUAACUAGGCUUACUAAUUGCACCAAGCACUUAAAAUACACUUCAGAAAACUAUUAAAAGAAGUCUAUGAGAUAAAAGAUGUUGGAGAGAUAUUUAUGUCAAAACAGUGUUGUAAAGCAGUUCAGUGAGAGAGCAGAUGUUUGAAAACAACUGUUUUCAGUAGGCAGUGAUUACCACAUAUUUUUAUUUGUGUCUUUCUGUCACUGAUGGCUGUUGAUAUAAAAUGUAUUCUCUCACAGUAAGUUCAAAGACAACCACCUACUUACGAGUUUUGUGAUAUGCAACAUUUACUGUUAAUCUUCCCUACAGCCCUUCCUUUGUAGUCUUCUGUAUGAAACUAUAUUGGAAUUUGUGCAGACCUUGAUCCUCAACUGACUUCAAUGAAGCCAUCGUGUACAUCAAAAUAAGCUUACAAGAUUGCAGUGCAACCUUCCUAUACCCCAAAACAGGUCAUUCCUCUGGUCUAGGAAUGAAUUGCUAUGCACUGUUAGCUUCAAGAAAGUGAUUCUAAGUAACCAUGAUCCUGGUAACAGUUGACUUUUAAUGCUUCACAAUUUAUAUAAAAUUCCUAUUGGAAUAGGAGAUUUUGUGAUUAAUGGUAAGUACUUGUGGAUUUCCAUAAUGCUGCCUGGAAGCUGCAGUUUGUGCUCCCCAAACAGGCCUGCUGGGAGCCUUUUAACAUCCACAAGUUCUCAAGUACCUCCACAUCAUGGAUGACAGCAGCAGAUCAGCCAUGUGGAGGAUCAUGGAGUAUCAAGCAUUCCUGGCCACAGAGUAAGGUGUGAAGCUGAGUGUGGCACUUUCUAUAUGAAAUGUGGAUUUGCGUUUCUUUUAGAUUAAUAAUUUCUUUUAGAUGCAUCUUUUAGAUUCAUUUUUAUUUUGCUCAUUUUGAAUGUAGACUUCACAGUUCUGAAACAUGACAGAGUUAUAACAUGACUAUCCUAUCUGCAACACUGCACUGUGGCAGUGUGGCACACACAAUGUUGUUUCAGCUUAAAAAAUAAGUAAUUUUUAGUGAUGAAAAUACCUCACAUUAUGUCAAUCAUUUCAGGAUUGACACUGAGACAUUGAUACAGGUGAGAAGGUGGCAAAGCCUGACAAUCAAUUGGAAUAUCAGGUGCAAACUUGAUUAGCAGGUAUUAAAGUACCAAUCUAUUUAAUAAAGAUUACUCAAUAGUUUUGGAACCAAUUAAAUAGAAUUUAAUAUAGAAUUAUGGCUUUUCUGCAGAUGCUUUGAUCUGCCUGGUAGAGUUUUUUAGUGAUUCAUUCAACCAUUUUUAAACACUGGGAAAAUACAGUUAGGUGACCUAAUGAUGGUAAUUUGCUGUUAGUGUAAAACUGUAGUGUGGAAAAAAGAGUAAGGAGACAUCUCUGAAAGACAAUUUCAUGGGAGCCAAGACUUUGGAAAUCCAUUAAUUAUGCUGACAUUAAAAUUGUGUCCUGUACUUAUGGGGCAGUGCAAGAGAAUGUAAAUAACCUGACCAGUGAGAAAAAUAUUGAGAGUGCAUCUUCCUAAAGCUUUGUCCAGCUUCUUGUAUUAAUUGAAAAGGUCUUUGCAUCAUCAUAGAACAAAAUUGCAAAUUCAUAGACACAUUUUGAGUCAUUCUAAUUCAAACUGGUUUGAGAUAAAGUGCUGUUGGUUGUUUUGGUUAUAAACAAGGGAAUGUAAAAAGAUUGUCUUAAUACCUAUAUAUAUAUAUAUAUAUAUCCUUUUUUUUCUUUAAUUACGAGAUCAUUUUUAACUUCCAGUAAUACUUUAAAGCCAACGUUUUAUCAAAAUUCUUACUUUUUUCUUCUUUUUCUUUUUUUCUCCUCCUUUUAUCAAGAUUUUAAUUUUCUCCUUUUUAUUUUUUCACUUUUUUCCUUUCUUAUUUUUUCUUCUUUUUCUCUUUUUUCCUCUAUCCCUCUAUUCUUUUUCCUUUUCCCCCUCUAUCUUAUCUUUCUCUUUUUCUCUUUAUUUUACACCUUUUUUUUCUUUUUUUUUUCCUCCCCUCCUCUUCUCACCUUCUUUCCUCUUGACAAGGCAGAAUUCCCUCAGUGGUACAAAACCAGCCCACAGUUGUUCUUGGUACUGCAGUGGGUGUCUGGGGGAGAUGGGCUGGUGUUCUCCAAGUUCCACAGAGGCCCAGACUGAAGGCUCUGACUGCAGAGUGGGAAUGGCCAGGUUUGUGUUUGCCACCAGGGAUGCUGCUCCCAGCUCACAUCAGUCAGUCCUUGAACCAUUAUGACCAACAGAGCACCAUUUUAAAGGAACCUGAAAUAGGAAUGUGAUCAAUAUGGGGCAAAACCAAGAGCUUCAAAUGUCUUUGCACUGGUUAUAAGUAUGUUGAGAGUUUAAAAAAAUAGAGAGGCUCCACAGGUCUAAAACAUUGCCCUCCAACAAUAAGCAUUCUAAAAGCCAUGAUGAAUGUGUCUUUUUGCUCCAGCAGUCUGUCUUAAAAUAGGCAUAAGUGUUCCAGAAUGCAGAAGGUGAAGCAUGGCAUAUAAACAAUUGCUUGUUUACUUUUCCCACACUCAAGAACUAGAGUAAAUGCAGCCCAUAGUAUCCACAGGAAUACUUUAGCACUAGGAGUUGGGAAACAGAGCCAUGGACUCACCAACCUGUUUGCUUAAAAUCAGUGUCAUUUUCCCUUAAACUAGGUCAAUACUAUAAUCAAAGAGAAAGGUAUUUUAAAAAUCACAGUAAGUAGAAAAGGCUGCUUUCAGAAUUCACUGAAGAAGAGGUGGGGUUGACAGCCACUAGGCUAUUGCUUAUUUUUCCUUAUGGAUGCCCUCAGAAGCAAGCAAAUGUUAUUUUAUUUGAAGGGCAGAGGAUAAAGAGGAUUGUCUGGUGGCACAAAAGGACCCAGUGUUGGAGCCAGGGCACCUCUGCAGUGCCUUGUUCUGUGGAAAGGUCACCAGACCCUGUGUCUCUGUGUUUCUGUUUAAGCUCUGCCUUUAGUACCUUCACAGAGAGGUGUAGCAAUGUCACUUUCUACAACUUUUUGGUAUUCUCUGUUGAAAUACAGGAGUAUUUCAGAAGAAAGCCUCCAACUGGUUUCAUUCAUAAACAUAAAAGCAGUGUAUAAUAUUACUCUAUUGAGCAUUCUUGGGCAACACAGGAUCACAGCUUGUUGCCAUAACCUUUGGCCUUUCUUACUGCCUAGGUUUGGUUCUUCAGUGCUCAGGAGCUUCAAGAUCAUUUAGCCCAUGGCUUGAGGAAGACCCCAGUUUUAGAUCCCCUGCAGCUGCUUCGUCAGCCUGUCCUAUCAGGUUUGCCAUCUCAGUGAUACCAUGUUUAUACAAUGCACAUGCCCUGCAUGCACCUACAAGCCUGCUUUAUCUCGACUCAGAGUGUUGCAAAAGUAGAUUUUGCUAUUCCUCUGCUGCUGGAAGGGCUUCCCUGACACCCAGGGAGAUGUGAUAAUUAUUCUAUCUCAUUCUGCCCGUGUAUUGUGGCAUAGCCAGACCCAGAAAUCAGGCUCUCAAUGCCUCACUUUGAUGGGUUGGUUCCAAGUUGCUUUACACCUCAUUUUUUGUUUGCAGUAACUCUGUUACCUGUGUGCACUAUUACACCACCUAAUUCACUAUUGAUUCUUUCAUUGUCUUUUAAUGCAGAUUGAGGAUACUAUGUAAUUCCAACUUCUUGGAAUGUUGCAUCAUUGUAAGCUCCUCUGGCUGAAAGAACUUUGUCCUUGGGGUACCAGUUGAUGUUGUUUGAGGAAGACGAAAUCCAAGUAUAAUUUGAGACCAUCUUCCUUGAUCUUAAAGGACCCAGCAUCAUUUUGAGAGCCACAAGAAAGCACUACAGAAGCACAGAGACAUCUCUGCACUGGGGAGCAAACCAAAGGAAAACACAACCCUGUCUCAGAAAGUGCUGAGAAAUACAUGAUGAGUCCUGUACCUCUGUCCACAACCACUGCAUGAGAAGCUGCAAAUACCUAUCCUGGCUUGGACCAGAGGCUCAUACACUGCCCUGCACACCUCUGAGAGCCCCUGCCCUUUGGGAAGAAAUGAGCAGCAUUCUUCCCCUUCCAAGCAUCCUUCAUUCUGAGUCUCAGACUUCCUCAACUGGAGCUUGGAUCUGCAUCUCUGCAUUCCACAUCUCUUAAGUAAACACUUUGUUUCAUGGAUUGGUCUGGCUGCCAUUGGAACCCCUGUGCAGUUUUUACCUCCAUAAUGUUAUGCAGCCAUGAGCCCCACAAGCUGUGAGAUACUUCAAAUAAUAAUUUUGUUAAUUAUAGGCCACAUUUUUGACUGCAGCAUUUGGCAUCCAUGGUACUGUGUGAAAGAGCAGGCAGAAUAAUUUUUUUGUCUCCCAUUUAUUGCUGGCUUAUCCAGCCUGCCGAGCCCUUCAUAUUUUGCUGUGUUUUCCAAGUGUGGUCAUUUUGACCUUGUAACAUUUCCAAUCACCUGCCCUUUGGAAGGGGACUGCAUGCAGUGUUCCAGACCUGGGAUGCUCUACAUUGCCUGGUGAUGUAACAGUGAUUUCUUACAUUCCUGAUGUUGCUUCAGCCUGUUGAGCAUGGGAGCAACCAGAGCAUGCCAAGCAAUGCUUCCACCAGACUUCAUGGUCAUGAUUUUGCUGCACAGUUGUGCUGCAUAAAUGCCUUUUGAGUUAAGCAAAGAACUCUCUUCCCUCCUGCAACUUUCUGCCCACCCCUAGGUUUUGUGUCCCUGUGUGUUCUUGAUCACCCCACCACUGGAAGUCAGUAGAAGAAGUUUCAGCAAGAUUGGGAGUCCUGGUAUCAUCCCUUGUUAAGGACAAGAGCAGCAGCACAGAGAACCUGAGCCAUGAUUAGUGCUGAGUGACAUAAUCCUCUGGUCCUUAGGAAUGGGAAAUUUCAUGCUUACAGAUUUGUUAACAUAGAAAAGAAAUAAGGUGGCAGCCAGUGACAGCCUGGUGGUUUCACUGGUUUCACCACUGGCAGCCUGGUGAAAAUGUUUUGCCUCACCUUUCACUGUGAUAAAUUCUUUCCGUGAAAACAAGUAAUUCAGCCUUUCAGUUUGGUGCUGCUUUUUGCUGUAUCAGCAGUUUAGCCAGAACAGUUGGAAGCAUUUAAAGAGUGGCAUUAAUUAAAGUGACUCAGAAGCAAAUGGGCUAUGAAGAACUUGGAAAGAAUGGAGGAGUAGCUAUUGUACAAAAUGCUUUUCUAAAUGAACACCUGGAGGGAUGAAGCUAUGGAGAGCGUGGUUUGGGAAGCAGCCUUCCCACUGCAGCAGUGCAGUCAUGGUGAUUAAACACACCUUUUGGAAGCACACACUGUUUGGAAGGGGCUUUCAAACAUCAUCAGGUAAAGCUUACAAUGAAUGACUCGUUGCAGGUUAAGAGGCAGGAUGACUCCACUUGCUGUUUGUGUUCUGUAGAAAAGGUUGGCAGUACUUCAGGCUGAACAGGGGGACUCUGAAGAGUAUAGCAAGGGCUGUGUGGUUCACUGGUAACUACCAAUAAAGAGUCCACUUAGAUAAAGUGGGUCAUAAAUGGCAUCUGAAGUAGUGUUUCCCCCCAGAAGAAGAUAUUCCAGCAGAGACACAUAGGAAAAGGAUCAACUCAAAGGAAUUCACCACCACAUCAACCUUUUUUUGUGUCCAUAAUUGUUUUGCUCUCUGAGAUUGGGCAAAAUAUGUAUGAUUUAAAAGUCUCUGAAUUGCUAUUGAUACACUUUAAUUUAAUGUUUAUAAACCAUCUGACAUCAUCAUUACACUGCUUGGUAUGAUGGUUUGAAUGAAGUCUGUGUGCUUGUUUCCUUCCAAAAGGAUCCUCAUGUGUUUAAUGCAGCUGGAAGAUAAACUGUCUGAUGCAUCAGUGGGGCUUAUAUAUUCUGUGUCUGAAUCAGAAGGCACUGUGCAAGGAAAUGUGUGUUAAAGGGAAAUAUUUAAAAUAAAAGUGGUUGAAUAGUCU